rnacentral:rRNA from 1 species
UACGAAGGGGGCUAGCGUUGCUCGGAAUCACUGGGCGUAAAGCGCACGUAGGCGGCUUUCUAAGUCAGGGGUGAAAUCCUGGAGCUCAACUCCAGAACUGCCUUUGAUACUGGAGAGCUUGAGUCCGGAAGAGGUGAGUGGAACUCCGAGUGUAGAGGUGAAAUUCGUAGAUAUUCGGAAGAACACCGGUGGCGAAGGCGGCCUGCUGGGCAGUAGCUGACACUGAGGCGCGACAGCGUGGGGAGCAAACAGG